rnacentral:tmRNA from 1 species
GGGGGUGUACUGGUUUUCGACGGUGAGAGUGAAACGUAAGCAGCAUGUCGAGGAUAAUCGGUUGGCCUCGUUAAUCAUCCGAUAAAACUAAUAAUUGCCGAAGAUUACUCUUUUGCAAUGGCUGCCUAAAUAGCGCAGCCGGUCUGAUACAUGAGCGCACCCGUAGUGUAUCGGGCCCAAUUUAGGGUGCUGGUCGACAUGGGGUCGCACCGACCGUGUCGGCGAGAUCAAUUGGUGCUGGUUAUUUCCUGAGCUUGUCUGCCGGCGCAGGAGAUAACGAGAUCAAAAGACAGACUAAACAUGUAGCGGCUUCCGCAGAUCGCUCAUCGGACAGGGGUUCGACUCCCCUCACCUCCACCA